UACGAAGGGGGGCUAGCGUUGCUCGGAAUCACUGGGCGUAAAGCGCACGUAGGCGGAUUCUUAAGUCAGGGGUGAAAUCCUGGAGCUCAACUCCAGAACUGCCUUUGAUACUGGGAAGUCUCGAGUCCGGGAGAGGUGAGUGGAACUGCGAGUGUAGAGGUGAAAUUCGUAGAUAUUCGGCAAGAACACCAGUGGCGAAGGCGGCUCACUGGCCCGGUACUGACGCUGAGGUGCGAAAGCGUGGGGAGCAAACAGG
rnacentral:rRNA from 1 species